rnacentral:lncRNA from 1 species
AUGGGAAGGGGUCAAGGAAAGGGGAUGUGGGGUGGAGCGAAACAAGUUAUUUCCCCAAACAACCCGACAAAGUCUGCCAGAAGGCGAGUUCUAGAGCUCGAGAGCAAUCCUCGAGGAGGCACAAGGAGAAAACUUCGUCACCGAGGGAAGUCGGCGAACCGCAGGGAAGGGGCCCGGGAAGCCCUCCGGGGCCGGGGCGGGAUCCGCUCGCGCUGGGUGUCGGCGCCUCCUCCGGAGUCUCGGGGCCUGCGCGUCCCGCUGCCGCAGGGCCGACCCUCCCGUCUCCGCUCUAUCUGGGGUCGCCGGCCGCUCGUGGCCGCAGCCCCGGCCGCAUCUCGGGCCGCCCCGCGCCAGGCUCGCGCGGCUCCAUGUCCCCGGGCCGGGGAAGCCCUCUCGUCUUCCUCGCCGCCCCCACGGGGUGCGGGGGCGAGCGCGGGUGCCGGGGGCGCGGGUCCCGCGGCCAAGGGUGACAGGAACCUGGUCUCAGCGCCGCGGGCUGCUCCCCAUCCCACGGAGGCCCGGACUCUUCCGCAGUCGGCAGAGGCGGCGGCGGCUCCUCCCCGACGCGCCGGGAGGCGGCGGUUCCAGCGAGGGGCGGGAGGUUCCCGUCCGGCCCGGCCUGGAAACACCGACCCCGGAGGCCGGCGGCGGCGGCGGCGGCGGCGGCAGCGACUCGCAGCGCAGGGCCGGCUCGCCGGGUUCUGGGGCCCUCGCGGGAGCGCGCGCGGCGGGCGGAGGAGGCCGGCGGCGGUGGGGCCGCGCGACCCUCGCAGGCGCGCGCACGGGUUCCGGUUCCGGUUCUGUCUUCCUAGCCCCAGCCGCGGCCUGCGCGAGCGAGCUCGUCCCCUCCCCCGCCGACUUUUUUUGGCCUCCUCCCCUCAGACUUCGGGAAGCCGCCUCACCCGGGAUCCCUCCGCGGCGCGCACGGCCGCCGCACCGCCCGCGCCGCCCGCGCCGCCCGCCGCCCCCGCUCCCCCGCCUCGAGGUCACGCCGCCCCCGUGCGGACGCCUCCGCCGGAGUCGUGGUGGGGAGAGCGGCAAAGUAGUUCUGCCGCGCGGAGGGAGGUGGGACAGUAG